rnacentral:rRNA from 1 species
CCGGAGACGGAUGGGCAUGCGUGACAUUAGCUAGUUGGCGGGGUAACGGCCCACCAAGGCGACGAUGUCUAGGGGUUCUGAGAGGAAGGUCCCCCACACUGGUACUGAGACACGGACCAGACUCCUACGGGAGGCAGCAGUGAGGAAUAUUGGUCAAUGGGCGAGAGCCUGAACCAGCCAAGUCGCGUGAAGGAUGACGGCCCUACGGGUUGUAAACUUCUUUUGUCAGGGAGCAAUUGAGCCCACGUGUGGGCUUAGCGAGAGUACCUGAAGAAAAAGCAUCGGCUAACUCCGUGCCAGCAGCCGCGGUAAUACGGAGGAUGCGAGCGUUAUCCGGAUUUAUUGGGUUUAAAGGGUGCGUAGGCGGAAUAUCAAGUCAGCGGUAAAAAUUCGGGGCUCAACCCCGUCGUGCCGUUGAAACUGAUGUUCUUGAGUGGGCGAGAAGUAUGCGGAAUGCGUGGUGUAGCGGUGAAAUGCAUAGAUAUCACGCAGAACUCCGAUUGCGAAGGCAGCAUACCGGCGCCCAACUGACGCUGAAGCACGAAAGCGUGGGUAUCGAACAGGAUUAGAUACCCUGGUAGUCCACGCAGUAAACGAUGAAUGCUAAUUGUCCGGAGGGAUUGACCUCUGG